AGAUGUUUCCAGCGUCAUAGCUGUAGAGACUGAACAAAGUGUUUGUUAUGUCUAUGACCACCUUUGUUUUAGCAUGUUGGGAGAGCAAGGACACGGUCAAAGAGCUGACGUGUCUUACAUGGAUAAGAUGUUCCCAGUACCCUGGCUGUAGAUACUCAACAAGAUGGUUAACGGUUUCUGUUGACGCCACCGAUAUCUAAAUUUAGACCUGAUUGGCUUCAACACGAUCCGAUGAGGAAGAUUUUCACACGAAUCGGGUAAGAAGUUGAUAUUCUGAUUUUCAAACGGGGCUUCCUGAAUUAUAACGGGUGAUAACAGAUUACAAAGACGGGUAUUUAGUACUUUGGGAUUUUUUUAAAUUAUUUUUUCUCUCUCUUCUUAGAAAAUCCAAAUUUCGGUUAUUUGAUUGGGCUUCUAAUGAUGAUAACUUGUCUUUUUAUCCGGUUAUUUGAAAAAUGUGUAUAAAAUUAUAAGAGUAAUUGUACAGUAUUUCCGGUUCAUCAGCAUCCAACUUUUUACUGAGGAAGACAGGGAGCAAUGUGCGCAUUUACGAUUGUAUUCAGACUAACUAUCUGAAAAUCGCAUAAUUGUGACCCUUGACCAAGGGGGAAGACAGGGGCAAUUUGCGUCGCAUUAUUGUGACCCUUGACCUAAAAGGGGGAAGACAGGGAGCAAUUUGCGUAUUACGAUUGUAUUCAGACUAACACUCUGAAAACGCAUAAUUGUGACCCUUGACCAAAGGGGAAGAUAGGAGGGAUUUUGAGAGUUCACUGAAAUCGCAAAAUCUCAGCCCUUGACCUAACAGGAAGACAGGAACAAUAUCGGGGUUUUCGGACAGUAAUCUGAAAACAGAUAUUUGCGCCCUUGACCUAUAUUUAUUAACCAAUAGUUCUGGUUGGGUUUUAACUUGUAUUUUUCCUACGUAAAAGAAAAUCAAGACUUAUAGUGACGACUAUAUUUUAAGUAAUAAAAGUAUACUUCACCACGCCUGAAAGAUGGGUGGUGUAAAGGGUAAAGGUAAAAAGGAAAUGGGUUCUCCGGAGGGACCCAUUGUGGAUCUGAUGAGAAGGAAAUAUGGAGAUCAAUCUCUAGAGUUUUUGCCCGAGUGGUCAAAAGAUUUUGGGUUCCCUGCAAAUGGUUCUUUCAGUAGAAUAAAACUGAACAUGUUACGAACAGGCUUAGAGGGAAAAGAGAAGGGUAUAAAAUCUCAGAGGGUGAUAAAAGGCAAAGACUUGGAGAACAUUGAGAAACAAAGUAAAUGGUUAAAAUGGUGGGAGGAUGAAUGUGAAUGUAGAGAAAGGAAACAAAUGGCUAAAGAAUUGACAUGCGCAAAAACCACAUUGGUUGAAAAACCAGAUACAAAUGUUAUUGAACAAAAUGACCGAUGUGCUUCUUCUCCCUUGUAUCCGAGUCUCACAGGGGCUGGCGGCCCUCUCCUCAACACAUGCCCACCACCGUACCAUGCUUCAUCUGCGAACCAGCAACCUCCGUCUGCAGGAGCACAUAUCAAAGUUCACUACACCCGGCAGAGGGAGGAAAAGGAAGCGGCAGUGAAAGCAGCACAGGAACGACUCCUCGGCGAAGAGGAGGAAAAGAGACAGGCUGCUCUCCUCACUCGAUCUCGCUCUCCAGGAGCAACCGGAGGGGACACUUCUGCCAUCAACAAACUGAUUGCAGAGCAACCAUCUACAUCAGAUGUUUUUUCCCCCUCUUUCGACCCAGAGGGAGUUCCCCCGGAUGCAAAAUCUGUGCUCCAAACCCCAAUGAUUC
ensembl:lncRNA